AUGAGAAGGCAAGUGGGACUGUGCUCCUGGGCGGGGAGGCUGGGGUCCCGCAACAGGGCAGUGGAAUGGCGGCCCUGCUGGGCUGGUCCAGGCCCUUGGGGAGGGCCUGCCUGUGGGUGGGGGCCAGAAGACGCAGGCCCACACCCAGUGGUCAUCGCAGGAACCUCACUCGAGCUGGCAUGGUUGUGGGCCUGUGGUUUGGAGAGAAGAUGCACUUCCUCAUGCGAAAAAGUGUCCGCACAUAAUUCUCCGUAGAGAUACCCAGAUGCAAGUGGCUCUUUGGAAGGGCCAAGAAGACCUUCAGUGGGGUAGUUUCCUCUCCCAGGAUGGAUUUUACUCAUUGUCUUAUCACCAGGACAGCCCACACGCAUCCAAGUCUCUGGAGUGAGUAACUUAUUCUUUUCUUCCAUUUUUUAAAAGCAAAGAGGAUAUUUUCCAAGAGGUUCUCAAAGUUCAAAUUACCCCAUCAGACUGAUCUAAAUGCUCUCAGAUGGGCAGGAGAUUGAGGAGGUGGUGGGGAUGGGAUUAUUAAUGAAGGUUUUCAAAUGUGUGGUUAAAAGGCUCACGUUUUUCCAAUAGCUCAGAUCCAGGCUCCAGCCCCAGUUUCCGUCUGACCCUUGAGAAGCCAUCUCUCCAGGGGCUUCCUUUGGAAGGGAGAGCCCUACAUGCUUGACUCUGCCAUGCGGGAUCCAAAGGAACAAUUCCUGAGCACCUGAGAGAAAUGCCCAAGCGAAAGCACUGGGGUGCUGGGGAAGCAGCCCCUGGUUUUUGGAGAGGGCAUGAGAAGAAGUUCACGGAGGGCUUUAGUUUUGUUUAGAUUCCCAGUCAUUCUCUUAUUACUGCUACUCCCUGCGUUUGUGUAACUAUUGGCCUACAAAAUAGCUCACAAGUGUUCUCUCAUUUGAUGCUCACAGUGGCACUGUGGUAUGCUACAAGCAGGUACAAGGCUAUUACCUCCAUUUCACUGACUGGGAAACUGAGGCUCAGAGCAGUUUGGGAGCUCUCCUGAAAUCACACAGCUAGUUAGA
rnacentral:lncRNA from 1 species